UGACAGGCCUCGUCCUACCUGUCUUCACCUGUAUAAUGACAUCAUCCUAUAGCUGAUCAAUUAAACAUUACAGGUAGUGAGUGAUUUCUCAGGAAGAGUGGGAAAUACUCGGGGGCAGAAUUGAGCCUGCGGUAUCAGUGUGAAGAAGGUAGAAGGCUCUCACAGUUUUCUAGUCAAACUCGUCAGCUUUGUUAUACCGAGUGAGCACACACCACGAAAGUGCAAAUAAUAUGCAUUUCCCAUCUCUGUCCACCAAGACGCCCCUGAAACAUCCCAGUAACAUCCCUGUCCGGAUGCCAAUUUCUAAAUAUUAUCCUCCCGUAAAGAGAACUCAUUAGAAUUUAUAUAUGGCUGCCUCCCCCAGUUGGGAGGCAGAGGCAGGUGGAUCUCUGUGAGUUUGAGGGCAGCCUGGUGGUCUACAGAGUUCCAGGACAGCCAGGGAUACCCAGAGAAACCCUGUCUGGAAAAACAAAACAAAGCAAAAAACUGGAUUCCUGGAUUGGGCAGAGAAAUUUUCAAAAUACACUGGAAUAUCUUACUCCUUUUUUUGCACAGAGGAGUGGGUAUAUUUGUAUUUCCUUGAGUCCCACUGGUUCCUAGAGAUCAGGUGCUCCAGCUGUGUAGGGCUCCACCGUGAGGAAUCUGAUGUGAAGGACAAAUUAGGAAGUGUUUGAGGGAUGAUGGGAGGAGGAGGGGCAUGCCCAAGGACGGAGGAGUGAUCUCUGCUUCUUCUGGCCAACAUGGGCAAGUUAAGAAACUAAUGCUGGGAAUGGAUUGUAAACUCUGGAAAGGAAAAGCUAUGAACUUAUAAUAAUGCAAACAAAUGAAUUAGUAAAUAGGCAGAGAGAAGCGACUCCUGCCUGUACCCUCACACCGUUCCAGGGAUUGACCUAUCCGCACAGUGAGUAAAUGAGAAAUAGGAAGUUAUGGACACUCAAAAGCUGGGAUCCGGUACACUGGGCUCCCCCAUAGGGAAGCCACAGUACCCCAGAAGGACAGCGUGUUUGUUUUCAAUUAAACAUGGAAGUGGGGUUAUUAAAUGCAACAUGCGCAUGCAAACACACACAGAGAGAGAGAGAGAGAGAGAGAGAGAGAGAGAGAGAGAGAGAGAGAGAGAGAGAGAGAGAGAGGUUUAGCUAAUCUCAGUAGGCACAGUAUACAGGGGAGUCUUCAGGCAAUAAAUAAUCAGGAUGAGAAAGCUACGGUGAACAUUUUCUGCACAUGUUAUCAACAUCCACACUUGGAUCAUUUGCCCUCUGGGCUGAGGCGUGGGAUUCCUUAACACAGUCAUGCCAUGACAACAACAUAGAUCCAUUCAAGACAUCAUUCAUUCAGGGCUCCCCACUCCCCACUCUGUGCAGUAGAACUGCAGUGUAAACGAAAACAGGCCAAUACAAAAGGAAGUACUUGUUCCUGUAGAGGGAGGUGGUGUCGAUUCCCUAAUUGGUUCUCGAUUGUGUCAAUAAAGGAGGCAGAAGCCAAUUGCUGGGCGAAGGGGGAAGGGUGGGACUUCAGGAUGGAAGGGAAGGGACACAGGGAAAGAGGAUUUCGGACCAGGCUUUGGAUCCCGGAGGAAGCUGCAGUCAUGUAGGUCAUAGGGCCCCUAGAGUUUGUAGCCUCCUUGUUGAGCAGGGGCCGAGGAGGACGGAGGGAGGCAUCUAGUUGAUAAGAUUAGGGCGGGAAAUUCUUCGCCCAGCCAUUGAGCUAUCUGGCUAGUUUUAAAAUAAUAAAAGUAGUCUCCCAUCCGUGGGACUGAGGUGGGCAGGAGGAGAAAGAGUGUUGGCAGCUUGGCGAAGCUAUCUCUGAGGGGUUGCAGGGAGUAGUUGCAAUUCCAGGGAGGAAAAAUGGCCUCUGGCUGUUGGCGGAGCUGAGUGAAAAUCUCUGAGCCUAUCCUGGAGCGCAGGCAGAGCUCCCAAGAAGGGGGAAGUGUGGGGGAAGUGUGCGAGUGUGUGUGUGUGUGUGUGUGUGUGUGUGUGUGUGUGUGUGUGUGUGUGUGUGUGUGUUUAAAUUACAUGCAACAAAUUCAAGUAUUGUACAAUCAAAGUACUUCCCUAGUGGAGUUUAUGAACUUUAAAUUGUUAGCAUGAUUCUGUUCUAAGAGUGUAAUGAGUUUUCCCAUCUUUUUUGUUAAAAUCCAGUAUUGUCGUUUUCUAUUGCUGUUCUUAUAAAUCACCAGAAGUGGGACUUAAUACCUACAAAUGUAUCAUUACACAGGACUACAGAUUCCAACUGUCAUUAAACUAAAACCAAGGUGUUUGUGUUUCUUUCUGAGGUUCUCGGGACUGGUUUAUUUUCCUGCCUUUCUGUAUUAAAGGCAGCUUGCAUCUCUUGGUUUGUAUACUCUCCUCCAUGUUCAAACACUGAUGGACAGUUAAAUUAUUCUCAUACCACAUUUCUCUAAUACUGUUUCUUCUUUCUCGCUUUCACUCCUGAGGACCCUCAUCGAUUCAGACAGCCACCUUACAGCCCUCCUGAGAGAACCCUGCUGCAGAGAACCCUGGAGCACAGUGACGGACCAGAAAGCCAGCCGUGCAACGUGCGCUGCCUUCUCGCAGAUGGAUGCAAACUGAGGGCUGUCCCGGCAUGAGGGAAAUGUGUAACGACAGAAGACUGUGGCCUUGUAUCCCAGGACCAACCAAUGCAGGAGGAUUGGUCAGGUAGAAUCCAUUUUGGAGCUUAACAGCAAAAAGCAUUAUGCUAUGUAAUAUCCCUUUGCCCCAGCUUCCCUCUCCCUGGCUUGCAUCUGCCCUCCUAUCUCUUGUCUCUUCACAGCAUCUUCACCUUACAUGUAUUUCUACAUCCAGUUUUCCCGCUCUUCCUGGUACCAAUCACAGUGGCUUAGGGACAACCAUCUUAAUGACAACCUUUUCAUUUAAUUGCCAUCGAAGUCCUGCCUCCAGGCCCAGUCACCCUCAGGAACCAAUGGUGAGCGUUGCACGCAUGGAGUUUUGUCUGGGGCUGGCUAAGCCUGGACCACAGCACAUGUGGCUAUGGGUGGCAGCCUCUCGAGGAAAACCGGGUGCUUCGCUUGUCCAGAGCCCUGUCAGGACUGCUUAACAAACCAUGAAACAACUAACCAACGACCUAGCCCACCUCGUGGGCUCUAGCAUUUACGUACCCUCUGAGAAGUCCUCGGAAUUCCAAAUGUCACACAUUUGCAGAAACGAUCUGCAGCCAGAGAAAUCACCAUGCCCGAGGAACCAAAAUUCCAAAAUUGUCAUUACACUGUACCAGAAGAACUUGAGGCAAUUUAGACUUUACCAAAAAAACCUAGCAUCCCAUGACUCAGAAAACAAUUUAGUGUGUGGCUGGACAGUGAAUGCUCCUGACAUCUUAGCAAUUGGUCCCAAGACCCCAAGGGUGCCAAAAUAGUCUGAUGAUGCUCCAACUCCCCAAGAAAACUGGUACAACACUUGCUCACAGCCUCACUCAGCACCCGUGCACAGUAGGUCAUCUCUAAGGGACCCAUAACUCUAGACACAAUGCCAAUGCUUUGUAAGUAGUUGUGCUGGACUGUUUAGGGAUGAGGAGAAGAGAAUAUCUACAUAUGCUCAGUAUAGAUGCACAUUUUAAAAAUACUUUGAUCUACAGUUCUUUGACUAAGGAUGAAGAACUCAAAGAGAAGAGGUCACGCUCUCUUUCUUGGUUCUUACUAACAUUCUGCACACAUACAUUUAUCAAAAUGGCUUUGAGGCUGAAUGCCUCCACUUUUGCAUACCUCUUGCAUUGUAGACCUUCCGUUGUUACGGUGAUGGCUAAUCUUGGUUAUCAACUUGACUACAUCUAGAAUCAACUAAAACCCAAGCAACUCCACACACCUGUGAGGGAUUUUUUUUUUUUUCAAUUGGAUCAUUUGAGGUGGAAAAUCUGGUUCAAAUCUGGUAGCAGCCCACAAAAAAGGACAUGGAAGGAGGAAACUUUUGAUUUUUGCCUGCUUGCCUUCACUCUUACUAGCAAGUACAUCUGCCUUGUUGCUUCUUCGGGAUUCCAAUACAGACUGAAGACUAGCAGCUCUCUAGGACUCCAGCACCAAAGUGGGACUUUGGAGACAUCCAAUCUCUUGGACUUUCUGUUUAGAAGUGCCCACCAUCAGACCCCAACCUGUAACCACUCUAAUAAAUUUGAUAAAUUUUGUCCCCCAAGA
rnacentral:sRNA from 1 species